rnacentral:rRNA from 1 species
AUGAAGGCGGGGUCGGCAUCGAGGCCAGAUGGCUUGCCGGUUGCCUUCUUCCAGAAAUUCUGGAAUGUCCUAAAACCGGUGAUCAUGCCAAUGUUCCAUGAAUUCUACAUCAGAACAUUUGACAUGGCGCGCAUAAACUUCGGUGUUGUCACCCUGAUCCCCAAAGUAGUUGGGGCGAUGGACAUUCGCCAAUUCAGACAUAUCAUAGUUAUGAAUGUCCUGCGCAUCUUCUCUAAAGUAUGCACGUCUAGGCUCGCGCCUGUAGUUGAGAGGAUGAAUCACCCACUCCAGACAGCAUUCCUGAAAGGGAGACGAAUCCAUGACGGGAUUUUGCCCUUCACAAGAUUGUCCAUGAGGUGCGAUCGCGUGGGCAGAAGGGUGUAUUUCCUAAGCUGGACUUCCAGAAAGCCUAUGAUCGGCUAG